UACGUAGGGUGCGAGCGUUAAUCGGAAUUACUGGGCGUAAAGCGUGCGCAGGCGGUUUUGCAAGCCGGAUGUGAAAUCCCCGGGCUUAACCUGGGAAUGGCAUUUGGGACUGCAAGGCUGGAGUGCGGCAGAGGAGACUGGAAUUCCUGGUGUAGCAGUGAAAUGCGUAGAUAUCAGGAGGAACACCGGUGGCGAAGGCGGUUCUCUGGGCAUGUCCUGACGCUGAGGAGCGAAAGUGUGGGGAGCGAACAGG
rnacentral:rRNA from 1 species